rnacentral:rRNA from 1 species
GGGUUGUGAGGUUAAGCGACUAAGCGUACACGGUGGAUGCCCUGGCAGUCAGAGGCGAUGAAGGACGUGCUAAUCUGCGAUAAGCGCCGGUAAGGUGAUAUGAACCGUUAUAACCGGCGAUUUCCGAAUGGGGAAACCCAGUGUGAUUCGUCACACUAUCAUUAACUGAAUCCAUAGGUUAAUGAGGCGAACCGGGGGAACUGAAACAUCUAAGUACCCCGAGGAAAAGAAAUCAACCGAGAUUCCCCCAGUAGCGGCGAGCGAACGGGGAGGAGCCCAGAGCCUGAAUCAGCAUGUGUGUUAGUGGAAGCGUCUGGAAAGGCGCGCGAUACAGGGUGACAGCCCCGUACACAAAAGCGCAUGUGCUGUGAGCUCGAUGAGUAGGGCGGGACACGUGGUAUCCUGUCUGAAUAUGGGGGGACCAUCCUCCAAGGCUAAAUACUCCUGACUGACCGAUAGUGAACCAGUACCGUGAGGGAAAGGCGAAAAGAACCCCGGCGAGGGGAGUGAAAAAGAAUCUGAAACCGUGUACGUACAAGCAGUGGGAGCACCCUUCGGGGUGUGACUGCGUACCUUUUGUAUAAUGGGUCAGCGACUUAUAUUCUGUAGCAAGGUUAACCGUAUAGGGGAGCCGGAGGGAAACCGAGUCUUAACCGGGCGUUAAGUUGCAGGGUAUAGACCCGAAACCCGGUGAUCUAGCCAUGGGCAGGUUGAAGGUUGGGUAACACUAACUGGAGGACCGAACCGACUAAUGUUGAAAAAUUAGCGGAUGACCUGUGGCUGGGGGUGAAAGGCCAAUCAAACCGGGAGAUAGCUGGUUCUCCCCGAAAGCUAUUUAGGUAGCGCCUCGUGAAUUCAUCUCCGGGGGUAGAGCACUGUUUCGGCUAGGGGGCCAUCCCGGCUUACCAACCCGAUGCAAACUGCGAAUACCGGAGAAUGUUAUCACGGGAGACACACGGCGGGUGCUAACGUCCGUCGUGAAGAGGGAAACAACCCAGACCGCCAGCUAAGGUCCCAAAGUCAUGGUUAAGUGGGAAACGAUGUGGGAAGGCCCAGACAGCCAGGAUGUUGGCUUAGAAGCAGCCAUCAUUUAAAGAAAGCGUAAUAGCUCACUGGUCGAGUCGGCCUGCGCGGAAGAUGUAACGGGGCUAAACCAUGCACCGAAGCUGCGGCAGCGAACGUAUCACCCAAGACAACUUUACGGAGUUGACGAUUGACGGAGCGAAGCGACGUCAAAGCGUUCAUUAAAGUCGAGUUGGCUUAGGGAUACGUUCGUUGGGUAGGGGAGCGUUCUGUAAGCCUGUGAAGGUGUGUCGUGAGGCAUGCUGGAGGUAUCAGAAGUGCGAAUGCUGACAUAAGUAACGAUAAAGCGGGUGAAAAGCCCGCUCGCCGGAAGACCAAGGGUUCCUGUCCAACGUUAAUCGGGGCAGGGUGAGUCGACCCCUAAGGCGAGGCCGAAAGGCGUAGUCGAUGGGAAACGGGUUAAUAUUCCCGUACUUGGUGUUACUGCGAAGGGGGGACGGAGAAGGCUAUGUUGGCCGGGCGACGGUUGUCCCGGUUUAAGCGUGUAGGUGUGUGUUCCAGGUAAAUCCGGUUCACUUUAACACUGAGGCGUGACGACGAGGCACUACGGUGCUGAAGCAACAAAUGCCCUGCUUCCAGGAAAAGCCUCUAAGCAUCAGGUAACAUCAAAUCGUACCCCAAACCGACACAGGUGGUCAGGUAGAGAAUACCAAGGCGCUUGAGAGAACUCGGGUGAAGGAACUAGGCAAAAUGGUGCCGUAACUUCGGGAGAAGGCACGCUGACACGUAGGUGAAGUGAUUUACUCAUGGAGCUGAAGUCAGUCGAAGAUACCAGCUGGCUGCAACUGUUUAUUAAAAACACAGCACUGUGCAAACACGAAAGUGGACGUAUACGGUGUGACGCCUGCCCGGUGCCGGAAGGUUAAUUGAUGGGGUCAGCGCAAGCGAAGCUCCUGAUCGAAGCCCCGGUAAACGGCGGCCGUAACUAUAACGGUCCUAAGGUAGCGAAAUUCCUUGUCGGGUAAGUUCCGACCUGCACGAAUGGCGUAAUGAUGGCCAGGCUGUCUCCACCCGAGACUCAGUGAAAUUGAACUCGCUGUGAAGAUGCAGUGUACCCGCGGCAAGACGGAAAGACCCCGUGAACCUUUACUAUAGCUUGACACUGAACAUUGAGCCUUGAUGUGUAGGAUAGGUGGGAGGCUUUGAAGUGUGGACGCCAGUCUGCAUGGAGCCGACCUUGAAAUACCACCCUUUAAUGUUUGAUGUUCUAACGUGGACCCGUAAUCCGGGUUGCGGACAGUGUCUGGUGGGUAGUUUGACUGGGGCGGUCUCCUCCUAAAGAGUAACGGAGGAGCACGAAGGUUGGCUAAUCCUGGUCGGACAUCAGGAGGUUAGUGCAAUGGCAUAAGCCAGCUUGACUGCGAGCGUGACGGCGCGAGCAGGUGCGAAAGCAGGUCAUAGUGAUCCGGUGGUUCUGAAUGGAAGGGCCAUCGCUCAACGGAUAAAAGGUACUCCGGGGAUAACAGGCUGAUACCGCCCAAGAGUUCAUAUCGACGGCGGUGUUUGGCACCUCGAUGUCGGCUCAUCACAUCCUGGGGCUGAAGUAGGUCCCAAGGGUAUGGCUGUUCGCCAUUUAAAGUGGUACGCGAGCUGGGUUUAGAACGUCGUGAGACAGUUCGGUCCCUAUCUGCCGUGGGCGCUGGAGAACUGAGGGGGGCUGCUCCUAGUACGAGAGGACCGGAGUGGACGCAUCACUGGUGUUCGGGUUGUCAUGCCAAUGGCACUGCCCGGUAGCUAAAUGCGGAAGAGAUAAGUGCUGAAAGCAUCUAAGCACGAAACUUGCCCCGAGAUGAGUUCUCCCUGAGACUUAGAGUCUCCUGAAGGAACGUUGAAGACGACGACGUUGAUAGGCCGGGUGUGUAAGCGCAGCGAUGCGUUGAGCUAACCGGUACUAAUGAACCGUGAGGCUUAACCUUACAACGCCGAAG